UACGUAGGGGGCAAGCGUUGUCCGGAUUUAUUGGGCGUAAAGCGCUCGCAGGCGGCUCGAUGCGUCGUGCGUGAAACACCCCGGCUCAACUGGGGAGGGUCGUGCGAUACGGUCGGACUUGAGGCCAGUAGGGGGGAUGCGGAAUUCCGGGUGUAGUGGUGGAAUGCGUAGAGAUCCGGAGGAACACCAGCGGCGAAGGCGGCAUCCUGGACUGGUACUGACGCUCAUGAGCGAAAGCGAUGGGGAGCGAG
rnacentral:rRNA from 1 species